rnacentral:rRNA from 1 species
CCCCCGGGGCGGCGUGCUAAUACAUGCAAGUCGAGCGGACUGAUGGGAGCUUGCUCCCAUCAAUCAGCGGCGGACGGGUGAGUAACACGUGGGUAACCUGCCUGUAAGACUGGGAUAACUCCGGGAAACCGGGGCUAAUACCGGAUAACUCAUUUCCUCGCAUGAGGAAAUGUUGAAAGAUGGCUUCUUGCUAUCACUUACAGAUGGACCCGCGGCGCAUUAGCUAGUUGGUGAGGUAACGGCUCACCAAGGCAACAAUGCGUAGCCGACCUGAGAGGGUGAUCGGCCACACUGGGACUGAAACACGGCCCAAACUCCUACGGGAGGCAGCAGUAGGGAAUCUUCCGCAAUGGACGAAAGUCUGACGGAGCAACGCCGCGUGAGUGAUGAAGGUUUUCGGAUCGUAAAACUCUGUUGUUAGGGAAAAACAAGUACCGUUCGAAUAGGGCGGUACCUUGACGGUACCUAACCAAAAAGCCACGGCUAACUACGUGCCACCAGCCGCGGUAAUACGUAGGUGGCAAGCGUUGUCCGGAAUUAUUGGGCGUAAAGCGCGCGCAGGUGGUUUCUUAAGUCUGAUGUGAAAGCCCACGGCUCAACCGUGGAGGGUCAUUGGAAACUGGGGAACUUGAGUGCAAAAAAGGAAAGUGGAAUUCCAAGUGUAGCGGUGAAAUGCGUAGAUAUUUGGAGGAACACCAGUGGCGAAGGCGACUUUCUGGUCUGUAACUGACACUGAGGCGCGAAAGCGUGGGGAGCAAACAGGAUUAGAUACCCUGGUAGUCCACGCCGUAAACGAUGAGUGCUAAGUGUUAGAGGGUUUCCGCCCUUUAGUGGCUGCAGCUAACGCAUUAAGCACUCCGCCUGGGGAGUACGGUCGCAGACUGAAACUCAAAGGAAUUGACGGGGGCCCGCACAAGCGGUGGAGCAUGUGGUUUAUCCGAAGCAACGCGAAGACCUUACCAGUCUUGACAUCCUCUGACACCCUAGAGAUAGGCUUUCCCCUUCGGGGACAGAUUGACAGUGUGCAUGUUGUCGUCAGCUACUGUCUGAAUGUUGGCUAAGUCCCGCACCGAGCCCACCCUGAUUGUGCCAGCAUCAGUGGCACCUGAGAUGACUGCGGUACAACGAGAGGGGGGAUGACUCAUCUCAUGCCUUUAGACCUGGCUACCGCCAUGAACGCAAGGACAACAGUAGCAUCUCAACGUUCAGUGAUGAGGCUACUCCCCCU